UACAGAGGGUGCGAGCGUUAAUCGGAAUUACUGGGCGUAAAGCGCGCGUAGGCGGCUUUUCAAGUCGGUUGUGAAAUCCCCGGGCUUAACCUGGGAACUGCAGUCGAGACUGUCUGGCUAGAGUAUGGGAGAGGGAAGUGGAAUUUCAGGUGUAGCGGUGAAAUGCGUAGAUAUCUGAAGGAACAUCAGUGGCGAAAGCGACUUCCUGGACCAAUACUGACGCUCAUGUGCGAAAGCGUGGGGAGCAAACAGG
rnacentral:rRNA from 1 species